rnacentral:rRNA from 1 species
GGUCAAGUUACAAAGAGUGUAUGGGGGAUGUCUUGGUGUCGAGAGGCGAUGAAGGACGUGGCAGACUGCGAUAAGUCCGGGGCAGGAGUCUAGCAUCCGUUAAUCCCGGAAUGUCCGAAUGGGGAAACCCGGUGCCGGCGGGCAACCGACCGGUAUCAUCCGUGGCUGAAUGCAUAGGCCAUGUGAAGCGAACGCAGGGAACUGAAACAUCUUAGUACCUGUAGGAAAGGAAAUCAACCGAGACUCCGUCAGUAGCGGCGAGCGAAAGCGGAUUUAGCCCAAACCAGACUUCGGUCUGGGGUUGCGGGCGCUGACAAGGAGUUACAAAGGCAGCACCAGUUGAAGGGUCUGAAAAGUCCCACCACAGAAGGUGAUAGUCCUGUAGGCAAAUGUGCCUGCCCUCCGUUACGGUCAGCGUACCAGAGUAGCAUGGAGCUCGUGGAACUCUGUGUGAAGCUGGGGGGCCCACCCUCCAAGGCUAAGUACUCCUCGACAACCGAUAGUGGAAAGUAGCGCGAGCGAACGAUGAAAAGAACCCUUACUAAGGGAGUUAAAAGGACCUGAAACCAUACACUUACACAGCUGUGGGAGCCCUAUGCCCUUCGGGGAACGGGUGACCGCGUGCCUUUCGCAUAAUGAGCCGGCGAGUUGCCAUUUGCGGCAAGGUUAAGCACUUCAGGUGCGUAGCCGAAGCGAAAGCGAGUCUGAACAGGGCGCAUGAGUCGCAGGUGGUAGACGCGAAACCACGUGAUCAACCCAUGGCCAGGUGGAAGGGGAUGUAAAAAUCCCUGGACGACCGAACCCGUUAACGUUGAAAAGUUAUGGGAUGAGCUGUGGGGAGGAGUAAAAGUCUAAUCAAACGUGGAGAUAGCUCGUUCUCUCCGAAAUAGCUUUAGGGCUAGCCUCGAGUCAAUUCAUUUACGGGGGUAGAGCGACUGAUUAGGGAUAGGGGGCCACCAGCCUACCUACCCUUACCAAACUCCGAAUACCGUAAGUGUUACCUCGGGAGUCAGUCUGCGGGCGAUAACGUUCGUGGUCGAAAGGGAAACAACCCAGCCCGCCAGCUAAGGUCCCAAAUCUAUGCUAAGUUAUAAAGGAAGUCUAAUUGCUGUGACAAUCAGGAUGUUGGCUUAGAAGCAGCCACCAUUUAAAAAGUGCGUAAUAGCUUACUGAUCGAGCAGUUGGGUGCCGAUAAUGAACGGGAAUAAGCAUAGAACCGAAGCUGCGGAUGCCUUCUUCGGAAGGCGUGGUAGGAGAGCGUAGCAGCCAGCGCCGAAGCGGUACGGUAACGAGCCGUGGAGCGGCUGCUAGUGAUUAUGCCGGCAUGAGUAACGAUAAAACAGGUGAGAAUCCUGUUCGCCGAAAACCUAAGGUUUCCUGGGGAAGGGAAAUCCGCCCAGGGUUAGUCGGCCCCUUAGUCGAGGCUGAAAGGCGUAGACGAUGGACAGCAGGUUAAUAUUCCUGCACUACGUUGGCGGACGCAAGCAGUGACGCAUUUUUUAGGGUCGUCCCGUGACUAGUCGUGCGGGUCCCGCAAGGGCGAGGACAUUUUUUGAUUCCGAAGCGGCCGGCGAAAAUGCCAAGAAAUAACUGCCCAAGGUUGAAGUCAGCGUAACCGUACUAAAACUGACACAGGUAGGUGAGGAGAAUAUCCUAAGGCGCUCGAGAGAACGGUCUUUAAGGAACUAGGCAAUUUGACCCCGUAAGUUCGCGAUAAGGGGUCCCUCCAGAUGCCCUUAUUUCGAUAAUGGCAUGCUGAGGGCGCAGUGAAGUGGCUCUGGCGACUGUUUAUCAAAAACACAGUUCUCUGCUAACACGUAAAGUGGAUGUAUAGAGAAUGACGCCUGCUCGGUGCCGGAAGGUCAAGGGGAUGGGUUAGCCGCAAGGCGAAGCUCCUAACUGAAGCCCCGGUAAACGGCGGCCGUAACUAUGACGGUCCUAAGGUAGCGAAGUUCCUUGUCGGGUAAGUUCCGACGUGCAUGAACGGCGUA